ACUCCUACGGGAGGCAGCAGUGAGGGAUAUUGCGCAAUGGGCGAAAGCCUGACGCAGCGACGCCGCGUGGGUGAAGAAGGUUUUCGGAUCGUAAAGCCUUUCUUGUGUGACGAGGAAGGACGGUAGCACAGGAAUAAGUGUCGGCUAACUACGUGCCAGCAGCCGCGGUAAACGUAGGACGCGAACGUUAUCCGGGAGUUACUGGGCGUAAAGCGCGUGCAGGUGGAUUGAU
rnacentral:rRNA from 1 species